AUUGAACGCUGGCGGCAUGCCUUACACAUGCAAGUCGAACGGCAGCACGGGAGCAAUCCUGGUGGCGAGUGGCGAACGGGUGAGUAAUAUAUCGGAACGUGCCCGGUCGUGGGGGAUAACGUAGCGAAAGCUACGCUAAUACCGCAUACGAUCUACGGAUGAAAGCGGGGGAUCGCAAGACCUCGCGCGAUUGGAGCGGCCGAUAUCAGAUUAGGUAGUUGGUGAGGUAAAGGCUCACCAAGCCAACGAUCUGUAGCUGGUCUGAGAGGACGACCAGCCACACUGGAACUGAGACACGGUCCAGACUCCUACGGGAGGCAGCAGUGGGGAAUAUUGGACAAUGGGCGCAAGCCUGAUCCAGCAAUGCCGCGUGCAGGAUGAAGGCCUCGGUUGUAAC
rnacentral:rRNA from 1 species